rnacentral:rRNA from 1 species
GGACGAACGCUGGCGGCGUGCUUAACACAUGCAAGUCGAGCGGUAAGGCCCUUUCGGGGGUACGACGAGCGGCGAACGGGUGAGUAACACGUGGGUGACCUGCCCUCAGCUCUGGGAUAAGCCUGGGAAACCGGGUCUAAUACUGGAUAUGACUCCAUGACGCAUGUUGUGGGGUGGAAAGCCUUGUGCGGCUGAGGAUGGGCCCGCGGCCUAUCAGCUUGUUGGUGGGGUGANGGCCUACCAAGGCGACGACGGGUAGCCGGCCU